CAAGCAGCUAAGGCUCUGUAGGGACCCAGCCCUUGCUGCUGUUUCCCUGGACUACUUGCUACAUAACUAACUUCCUUUUUCCCUGAAUUCACUAGCCUUGCAAAUUCCUCCACUCAGGGAAUGACUGCAGCUUGCUUUGCUGCACAGCCUCUUUGCUGUUUACUGAUCCUGGGCUUUAUCCUGGUUCCACCUGUUUCUGGCCAACUGAGCCUACUUCUAAUCAGUGGCAUUCUCAUGUGCUCCUCCUCCAGGUGCAUCCAGUGGAGUUCUUAUUGAAGGCCGGCCCCCAUAGCCCCUUUCAGCACUGUGUAAUACAGAUGCCCUAUAAAUAUAAAGGAGUGGGGACUUGGCAAGGCAAGAAUUCAGGUACAGUGGGCUGCUGAAGUGAAAAAUAAAGAGGAAAGAAAGUUAUUUACAUUCUUUGGAAGAGUUGAAGAUCAAACACAGAACAGGAUCAGAGAAAUUAUGGAAAUUAGCCACUUAAGGAGACUUGUAUUGGAGAGCUUGAAGAAUCUGCUUGACUAUGGAGAAUUGGAAGCCUUCCCAGGCAAGUGUUGUAAACUUCUGCUAUCUAAGCCAUCAUCAAGACACAGAUUACAAGCCUUAUGACUGUAAAGGUGUCUAAAAAUAUUCAAACAUUACAAAGUCAGCACAUGAAAAGUUUCCAGGCAUGUCUUUGGAGAUCUAAAAUCUGUUUGUGAAGUGACAUUCAUUCUACCACGGAGAGAAAUUUAUUGAAAAGAAAUCAAAGGAAUAACAGUUUGUAAUAAAGAAACAGGUUUGCGGUUCUAAAAUGUAAUGCUUCAUACUUCUCUCAAGGCUUGCUUGUGGCAGAAAACCCGUGUUGUCCAUUUUGUUUCAAUAGCUCUAUGCUACAGUGGAGCAUAAGUGAAAUGAAUUUCUCCUUGAAGGAAAACCAUAGUCAUUGGGGUCCAUGGGUGGGAUCCCUGAAAGUACUUAGAUGCCUAAGUCUCUGUUUUGGCUCCUUUGCAAUCCACAAACCUUCCACCAGACCCUAUAGGCACCUAAAGUCACUCAGCAUGUAAGGUUUCAGGGUAAAAUUUCCCCAGAUGUCUGUGUUUCUACAUCUGAGCACAUGUACUGUUGCCCCUGUCGAUCUCCCACCUAAGCCCCAGAGUGAUCCACAAACCAGGGGAAGACAGGCAUUCCAUGCAGGGUCUGAUUUGGUAGGGGCCCUUUGAGCAUACCUACCGGACCAGAUCCCAUUCAGAAUUCAGCAGGAGGAAGUGCUGUUGCUACCCACCUUAACUUUUAGCCCAGUGGCUAGAGCACGCACUUGGGAUGUGGGAGAGCCAGGUUCAAUGCCAUCCUCUCUACUAGAUGGGGAGAGAGGAUUUGAACAGCGGGCUCCCACCUCUCAGGAGGGUGCUCACACCACUGAGCUAUGGAAUAUUCUAAUGUAGGGGUCCCUCCAUCCUUCCUGUUGAAGCUGUUUCACUGUGGAUAAAUAAUCAAAGAGUGGUUGGAGCAGGGAGACUGCACUAGGGUGACCAGAUGCUAAAUACAAAAUAUCGGGACUGCCGCAGGGGGAGCGCCUUUUCAGUUGUUACACUCACUCGGCACGUUUGGUGGCGGGAAAUAAAUCUUGCCAGCGAAGAAAGAAGUACCCACCACCAAAAUGCUGCUGAAGCCCGUCAGCAACUGAAGUACCUGCCGCCGAAGUGCCGCCGAAGACCCGGAUGUGCCGGGUGAGUGUAACAAUUGAAAAAGGGCUCCCCCUGCCUGUCACUGCCGCCUAAGAGGGGGGAAAAAAGACACACCCGAAACAAAAUAUCGGGAUAAAUGGCGUCCCUACCAUGCUUUGGUUGGGACACAGGACAAACUGCUCAAUAUCGGGACAGUCCCGAUUUUAUCGGGAUGUCUGGUCACCCUAGACUGGACUGGGGUCUCCGACCUUCCCACUGGGUGCCCUAACCACUGGAUUACAGAAUCAUUCAUUCUCUAUCUGUGUCUCUGUCUCUGGCCCAAAGAGUAUUUAAGAAUUUAUCCACAGUGGACCUGUCAUUGGCCCAGCAGUCCAACACUCGGGGAGGCUCUAGGCUUCCUGUCCUCACCUCACCAUUCCUCAGGUGCCCCCAUAAGAAUCAGGUACAAUCUAACCUGUCACACUUAAAUCUCACUAAUCUCUGGCUCCUGGAUGGGGAAAAUGAGUGAGUGAGUAUAAAUUUUUAUCUGAAUAUUAUUUUCAUGGAAGAACAAUUACAGGUAUUUUUUAACUUCUUUGAAUAAAUUUCCCAUAUAAUCCUCACACUUAAUAUGAUUAUCCUAUUUGUAUGCCUGUAUCAUUUCUGUAUCUGAAGUUAGGAAUUGACUAUGUAUCAAUUACAAGUGGGUUUACACCUGGAGAACGCCUACCUGACAGAAUGCAAUCCGUCUGGAUGGGCCAUUAGGGAGAGCAAUAGGUCUUUAAAGAUGCUAAUCUCCCACCUUCCUGAGAAAUUUCCUGGGAUGCUACAAACAACCUUUGACUCA